rnacentral:rRNA from 1 species
GGGCGAAAGCCUGAUCCAGCAAUGCCGCGUGAGUGAUGAAGGCCUUAGGGUUGUAAAGCUCUUUUACUGGGGAUGAUAAUGACAGUACCCAGAGAAUAAGCCCCGGCUAACUCCGUGCCAGCAGCCGCGGUAAUACGGAGGGGGCUAGCGUUGUUCGGAAUUACUGGGCGUAAAGCGUGCGUAGGCGGUAAUUCAAGUCAGAGGUGAAAGCCUGGUGCUCAACAUCAGAACUGCCUUUGAAACUAGAUUGCUAGAAUUGCGGAGAGGUGAGUGGAAUUCCGAGUGUAGAGGUGAAAUUCGUAGAUAUUCGGAAGAACACCAGUGGCGAAGGCGGCUCNCUGGACGCAUAUUGACGCUGAGGUACGAAAGCGUGGGGAGCAAACAGGAUUAGAUACCCUGGUAGUCCACGCUGUAAACGAUGAUAACUAGUUGUCAGGGUUCAUAGAACUUUGGUGACG